AUUGAACGCUGGCGGCAGGCCUAACACAUGCAAGUCGAGCGGAGCGGGAGACGGGUGAGUAAUGCCUAGGAAUCUGACUGGGAGUGGGGGAUAAGGACAAGAAACGGGAGCUAAUACCGAAUACUAUCAGAUGAGGCUAGGUCGGAUUGGCUAGUGGGUGGGGUAAGGGCCCACAAAGGGGACGAGCCGGAACUGGUCUGAGAGGAGGAUCAGCCACACUGGACCUGAGACACGGUCCAGACUCCUACGGGAGGCAGCAGUGGGGAAUAUUGGACAAUGGGCGAAAGCCUGGUCCAGCCAUGCCGCGUGUGUGAAGAAGGUCUUCGGGUUGUAAAGCACUUUAAGUUGGGAGGCGUUACCCGCAGAAUAAGCACCGGCUAACUUCGUGCCAGCAGCCGCGGUAAUUC
rnacentral:rRNA from 1 species